CCUACGGGAGGCAGCAGUGGGGAAUAUUGGGCAAUGGGCGAAAGCCUGACCCAGCAAUGCCGCGUGAAUGAAGAAGGUCUUAGGAUUCUAAAAUCCUGUCCUAUGGGAAGAAAAAAAUGACGGUACCAUAGGAGGAAGCCCCGGCUAACUACGUGCCAGCAGCCGCGGUAAUACGUAGGGGGCGAGCGUUGUCCGGAAUUACUGGGCGUACAGAGAGCGUAGGCGGGACUACAAGUCUCAUGUGAAAUACCCGGGCUUAACUUGGGGGUUGCAUGGGAAACUGGAGAGCUUGAGUACAGGAGAGGCAAGCGGAAUGCGCAGUGUAGCGGUGAAAUGCAUAGAUAUUAGGAGGAACACCGGUUGCGAAGGCGGCUUGUUGGACUGAAACUGACGCUGAGGCUCGAAAGCGUGGGGAGCAAACAGGAUUAGAUACCCUUGUAGUC
rnacentral:rRNA from 1 species